GAGGUAAAGCGGAAUGUGUAGUGUAGCGGUGAAAUGCUUAGAUAUUUACACAGAACACCGAUUGCGAAGGCAGCUUACUAAAACUGUUACUGGACGCUGAUGCACGAAAGCGUGGGGAGCGAACAGGAUUAGAUACCCUGGUAGCCCACGCCGUAAACGAUGAUCACUCGCUGUAUGCGAUACACAGUAUGCGGCCAAGCGAGAGCAUUAAGUGAUCCACCUGGGGAGUACGAUCGCAAGGUUGAAACUCAAAGGAAUUGACGGGGGCCCGCACAAGCGGAGGAACAUGUGGUUUAAUUCGAUGAUACGCGAGGAACCUUACCUGGGCUUAAAUGGGGAACGACAGCUGCCGAAAGGUGGCCUUCUUCGGACGUUCUUCAAGGUGCUGCAUGGUUGUCGUCAGCUCGUGCCGUGAGGUGUCGGGUUAAGUCCCAUAACGAGCGCAACCCUUAUCGUUAGUUGCCAGCGGGUCAAGCCGGGGACUCUAGCGAGACUGCCACCGUAAGGUGUGAGGAAGGUGGGGAUGACGUCAAAUCAGCACGGCCCUUAUGUCCAGGGCUACACACGUGUUACAAUGGCCAAUACAAAGGGCAGCUACCGGGUGACCGGAUGCUAAUCUCUAAAGUUGGUCUCAGUUCGGAUCGAAGUCUGCAACCCGACUUCGUGAAGCUGGAUUCGCUAGUAAUCGCAUAUCACCCAUGAUGCGGUGAAUACGUUCCCGGGCCUUGUACACACCGCCCGUCAAACAAUGGAAGCUGGGGGUACCUGAAGUAUGUAACCGCAAGGGGCGUCCUAGGGUAAAACUAGUAACUGG
rnacentral:rRNA from 1 species